UUCUUAGGGGAGGCAGCGGUGGGAAUUUUUGGACAGGCCCGCAACCCUGAUCCAGCAAUGCCGCGUAUGGAAAAGGCCUUCGGGUUGUAAAGCUCUUUCAGUAGGGAAGAAAAGCCUCGGGUUCUUUCCCCUGAGUCUUGGCCUAACCUAUUGAAGAAGCCCGGCUAAAUCCGUGCCAGCAGCCGCGGUAAU
rnacentral:rRNA from 1 species